rnacentral:rRNA from 1 species
GACGGAGGAUGCAAGCGUUGUUCGGAAUUACUGGGCGUAAAGGGCGCGUAGGCGGCCUGUUAAGUCGGACGUGAAAUCCCUCGGCUCAACCGGGGAACUGCGUCCGAUACUGGCGGGCUUGAAUUCGGGAGAGGGAUGUGGAAUUCCAGGUGUAGCGGUGAAAUGCGUAGAUAUCUGGAGGAACACCGGUGGCGAAGGCGGCAUCCUGGACCGACAUUGACGCUGAGGCGCGAAAGCCAGGGGAGCAAACGGG